UAUUCUCAUGUGGAAGCUGUUUUGAGUACAACCCUAGUACAACCCAUUUUCCCAUGACCUUAUGUACUUCGUACAUUACUGCUAGUCCCCAUGAAUAUUGUACA
rnacentral:ncRNA from 1 species